rnacentral:rRNA from 1 species
GAUGAACGCUAGCUACAGGCUUAACACAUGCAAGUCGAGGGGUAACGAGAGGAAAGCUUGCUUUCCUUGUCGACGACCGGCGCACGGGUGAGUAGCGCGUAUCCAACCUGCCCCCAACUAGGGAAUAACCUUGCGAAAGUAAGACUAAUACCCUAUAAUUUCCUCAGAUGUCAUCUGACGAGGAACAAAGAUUUAUCGGUUGUGGAUGGGGAUGCGUCUGAUUAGCUUGUUGGCGGGGUAACGGCCCACCAAGGCAACGAUCAGUAGGGGUUCUGAGAGGAAGGUCCCCCACAUUGGAACUGAGACACGGUCCAAACUCCUACUGGAGGCAGCAGUGAGGAAUAUUGGUCAAUGGGCGGAAGCCUGAACCAGCCAAGUAGCGUGCAGGAUGACGGCCCUAUGGGUUGUAAACUGCUUUUAUACAGGAAUAAAGUUAGCCACGUGUGGUUAUUUGUAGGUACUGUAUGAAUAAGGACCGGCUAAUUCCGUGCCAGCAGCCGCCGUAA